rnacentral:sRNA from 1 species
UAGACGGUGCAGAAGGGCGGCAGCGUGU